AUUGAACGCUGGCGGCAGGCCUAACACAUGCAAGUCGAGCGGAUGAGUGGAGCUUGCUCCAUGAUUCAGCGGCGGACGGGUGAGUAAUGCCUAGGAAUCUGCCUGGUAGUGGGGGACAACGUUUCGAAAGGAACGCUAAUACCGCAUACGUCCUACGGGAGAAAGUGGGGGAUCUUCGGACCUCACGCUAUCAGAUGAGCCUAGGUCGGAUUAGCUAGUUGGGGAGGUAAAGGCUCACCAAGGCGACGAUCCGUAACUGGUCUGAGAGGAUGAUCAGUCACGCUGGAACUGAGACACGGUCCAGACUCCUACGGGAGGCAGCAGUGGGGAAUAUUGGACAAUGGGCGAAAGCCUGAUCCAGCCAUGCCGCGUGUGUGAAGAAGGUCUUCGGAUUGUAAAGCACUUUAAGUUGGGAGGAAGGGCAGUAAGCUAAUACCUUGCUGUUUUGACGUUACCGACAGAAUAAGCACCGGCUAACUCUGUGCCAGCAGCCGCCGUAAUAC
rnacentral:rRNA from 1 species